rnacentral:rRNA from 1 species
UACGUAGGGGGCAAGCGUUGUCCGGAAUUAUUGGGCGUAAAGAGCGUGUAGGCGGCCCGGCAAGUCCGCCGUGAAAGUCCAGGGCUCAACCCUGGAAUGCCGGUGGAAACUGUCGGGCUUGAGUUCGGAAGAGGCGAGUGGAAUUCCUGGUGUAGCGGUGAAAUGCGCAGAUAUCAGGAGGAACACCAAUAGCGAAGGCAGCUCGCUGGGACGACACUGACGCUGAGACGCGAAAGCGUGGGGAGCAAACAGG